GAGACACGUCUGCGAGCUCAGAGAGACUGUCCCCACGGUUCUCAUCCUCCAUUGAAUGGCAGUUCCAACCAAAUCAGCACAAAUCCGGAAUUCACUAAAUAAAACCACCGGAAAACAAGGUCGAAGCGACCCAGGCCAAAAGAACCCAUAAAACAAGCGCCUUCCUAUCCAUCCUGAGAGGCGAGCUGCAGAGUGGCCCCAAGUGACAACGGGGGACUCGCGGCUGGGCCUCAUCCCCCACUCCAGCACCGCCUGGGAUGAAUCACACGACAGAGAACAACGGGGCUAUUUCUUAAGAGUCAUUUGUCAAGUUGACAUCCGCGCCUCGAGUUAUUUAGGGCUUUCUAAAGACGCUUCUUUCCCUCCCCGCCGCAGGAAGCACCUGCAUGGCUGUCGAGCUGUGGGUUUGCUCAAUGGCACUUUGAUAUCUCUUCAGGUCAUCAAUUACCCUGGUGUCCCCUCCCUGCAGGCACGGACUUUGGCCGGGACGAAGAUAGGCAGGCUUAGAGAGGAGGAUGGAGAGGAGGAUGAAGUCGAAGAGGACGGCAAGCUCCUCCCUGCCCCGGGAUCUGAGUCCAGACACCGUCUGGAGACUUCUGGGAACUACUUGGGUGUUGAGAAUUGCAGCACCUCGGCCCCCAUGCUGCUUACCGAGAACGACAUAUUUUCUGCCUGAGGGCAGACUGCAAACCAGGCAGCUUCUACGACCCACUGUGGAGAUGACCCCAGAGAGCUGUGACCGCGCGGACCUUCUCUCCAUAUCCGAAGCUCUGCUGUGAGCAGGGAAGGUGGUGGUGGUGGGGGGUGUCCAGAUGUGGGCAGAUGCUUCCAGAGCAUCGUAACACCAUUAGGAAAAGGGCAAGUAUAUUGAAUCUCUGCACUUGAAGGAAGAAAGGCUUUUGAGGUCGUUUAAUAAAACCAGCUCAUCUUCCAGAUGUGGAAACUGGGGACCAGAGAAACUGAUUUACCCAAAGCCACAAGGGGAAGUCAGAGCAGAGUCAAAAUUAACCUGUCUCUACACUGCCCAGUAUUUGGAAUCCUAAAGAACCUACCAUUUCAAGACACACACGGAAGAAAUAGGAAAUGCCUUUGUAUCUUAUGGCGGUAACAAAGAACUAUACAUUUAGUAGCUUAGACAACACGAGUUUAUUAUCUUUCAGUUCUGUAAGGCAACAUAGGUCUAAUGGGCUAAAUUCCAAGUGUUUGUAGGACUUCAAUUUUUUUUUUUUUUUUGAAGGCUCCCAAAGGAGAAUCUGUUUUCUUGCCUUUUCCAGUUUCUGCAGCUGCCUGCAUUGCUUGGCUCAUGGCCCCUUCCUCCAUCUUCCAAGCCAGCCAUGGUGCAUGGAGUCCUUGCCCUGCAUCACUCUCACCUCCUCUUCUGCCUCCUUCUUCUACUAUUAAGGACCUUCUUCUACUAUGGUUAUAGUGGGGCCACUGGGAUAAUCUUCCUAUCUUAAGACCAGCUAAAGAGCAACCGUAAAGCCUCUUAGCCUUAUUCACAUGUUCCCUGGAUUAUGAGGUGAACGAACAUCUCUGGGAGGAGAGGAUCAUUAUUCUGCCUACCCCAGGGAGUAGAGAAAUGGGAGCAAAGGCCAACUCCUUCUCUUGCUUUCUUAAUUUCUCUAAUUCUCUGUGGCCAGAAAAAUUAGUUUAAGAGAUCCUAGAUCUCUGAAUUCAACCUCAAGCUUCUCUUCUGAGCCAUGAUCUGGUUAAUUUGGUCAAGACACAAAGGAAAGGAAAAAUGCCAAAAUUUAUAGAAAAGAAGCCUCCCAAAUGUUGGAUAAAAUGGGAUGCGGCCAAUGGAGGACCUCACUAGUUUCUAAGGGCCUGAGAACUUCCAGGGUUCAAGGGUGCGGGCUUAAUUUGCCAGAGGAGGGAGUUUACAAGAGAGAUCUAGAUGGAAUCCCUGACUUCAAGGCCUACUGGUCAUUAAAAUCAGUAAGCCAGAGGAGGAAAAGGGAAGGAACGUCCUUCUGGUCAAUUUUAGGAUGGAAUCAACCAAUUUCAGGUCUGGACGGUUUCUCAGACUCCUGGCCUCUCAAGGGUUGAAAUAAAAGGCCUUAGGAGGUUCUGUGUUUGAAUUCACGCCUAAUGUAAGGUCCACUGUAAGACCUUUGACGGUCCACUGUCCCCUGCUUUGUGAAGCCCUGGCCAGAGGUAGGAAAUUGGCUAGAUUCCCGUUGGUAUCCUCUAGUUCUUGAAAUCUAUGAUUUUCCAUGAAUCCCAAUUUUACCACUAGUUAUCCCUUCUGAACGUUUCUCUGCCAGGAUGGUAGGAUGUAGACCGUUGGUCUAUUUUCAUAUGGAGAGUUUGAGACCUCAGACUACAUGCAGUAUUUACCCUUCACUUAUGGGACUGUGAGGAUAAGGAGGAAGAGCCCAGGGUGGUCAUCUUACCAGCAUCAACCAGAAGCACCCUUCCCCACCCCUCUUGGUAAGAGACCCUGUCUUCUGUUCACAUGGACACAUGACCCAGGAGAGCCAAUCAUAUGCUUCAUCACUGCGGCUGGGCCAAUCAGGAGCAUUCUUCAGAGAUUGUUCUCCAGUCCCUGGGGGACCUGGGAGAGGAAACUCCCUUCUGCUCAGAUCUGUGAGCUGUGAGGAGGUGGGUUUUGCCCAGGGCCACGUCCCCACUCCUGGAGGAGCUGGUCUGGGAAAAUGGCAUCAGGCAUGAGUGAAAAGGAGAGAGUGAGUAUCCUGAGGGUGUAUUUAGGUCUCUCAAUCCAACCGUACUUUUCUAUGGUUGGGUUAUGUGAACAAAUACAUUUCUUUAUUUCUUUCAUUUUUGCUUUCUUUCACUUAUUUACUGUUUAAUGGCUGCAUCCAUGGCAUAGGAAAGUCCCCAGGCUGGGGACUGAACCCCAGACACAGCGGUGACCUACUGUGCCAGAUUCUUUAACCCACUGUGCUGCUGGGCUGGGGAUCGAACCCGCAUCUCUGCAGUGACUCAAGCCACUGCGCCACUGGAUUCUUAACCCACUGCGCCAUGGUGGGAACUCCUAAAUUUCUUUUUGAGGCUUAAACUAGCUCAAGAUGUGGUUCUUCCAUCUGCAACCCAUGAGUCCUAAAUAAUUUAGGAUGUUUCUCAUUUUUCCUGUUUUCUAGAGACUCUGAAAAGUAAACUAAAGAUCAGAAACUAUUAGUCUCAGAGCCCAACCUGUCCAUAAUGGUCUGGGGAAGAAUCAGUAGGAAGAAAGAGUGGAUGGUCAUGCAGGUUGAGAAAUGAAGGUUCUUGUGUGAAGCCCAGUGAGAUGGGAUCCACGAGUGAUUCCUGGGGUCCCAUUCUCUCUGCCCCUUUUGGACCUCAGCUUGGCUGGAGUAAAUCAUGGCCCCAAUCUCACAUCCAUUCUGGCCAAGCUCCAGGUCCCAAAGGGCCAAAGGGAGUGUUUUUCUACUUUGUGGACAUGGUGCUGUUUGUUUGGUGUAAGUCAGAGGUAUAGAGAGUACUCAAUAGAUUCCCUGAUAACCCCAAGGCGAAGGGGUGGGAAGCGAGAAGAAUAGAAGGUGAGGAGAGAGAAGCAUGACUCCACUAAUGAGAUGCGGACUGAAUCUCUCCUAGGAGUGUAAGGUUGUGCCAGUUUCAACUUGUCAUGACAAAGCACCAAGCAGAAACCUUAUUGUGAAGACAGACGCUGAGAGUUAGGUGUGUCUGUUGGAAGAAAAACGCACACCCAGGUGGGAACGGCAAGCUGCAAAGUAAAUGGACAAUUACUCACGAAGGCUGUUAAGGAAGGAACAAGGAUGAAUGGGCCCACAUUUAAACUCGAUGUUAAGUUAAAACAUAUGGGAGUUUUGUUUUUUUGUUUUUUAAUAUUCAUUUAAAGCGUGGAACUGUCUAUUCAAAGAGGCUGUGGUGUCUUUCUCCGAGGGAGGCUGUAGAGAGAAUAGUUUAGACUGCCUUGUGGCUGCUUCACAGGCUUGAUUACAGGUCUGCAGCUUGGCCCAUCACAUCUGCUUUUCAGUAUCACCGUGGGGGAGGGCAGUUGGUCCCUUUGGACUCUUAAACGUAAUCUGUCUAAGACUUUUGCAUUUUUUCUCCUGGCAGAGUUAGUUUCUCAUGUUUGUUUUGUGAAGAAAGGGCUUUAUAUAUAUUAUGUCUAUCCAUAUAAUUUUUUUUUCCACAGUAAACAGUUGAACAAAAUGUACACAAUGUUGUCCAAACUUCUUAAGUGUUCCCAGAUUUGGAGAUAGUGUUUAUUUAUGCAGCUUUCGGAAAGUCCGAAUGGAUCGGAAAGGUCAGAAGUUACCUCAACUUUUGACUCUGCUCUGCAGAUCACACAUGCUCUGUGCAUUGUUUUAUCUUCAAAACGGGAAAACGAGGAACCAUUCUUUGGCCCUAUCUUGCUCCCAGGGCUUUUCCCCUCCUGCAGACGGUGCCACCACCCGCGAGCUUGAAAACACCGCAGGAAACCAUCCCGGUAUUGUGAGCGGACUAAUCGCCCCAUACCACUCGCUUUUCCUUCCUGGACUGCGUCACGGGCUGUAGCCCUGUGGUUCCCACAUUGUUUCUGUCAUCAUCCCAAGGAGUAUAACUCUUGAUGCUGAGCUUGGGCAGGACAGCCUGUCUCAGCGUGAGCUCUUAUGUAAGUGGCUGUGGGGAGAGCUGGCAAUAAACAAACAUUUUUCC
rnacentral:lncRNA from 1 species